GCCGAGUGUGGUGGCGCACACCUGUAAUUCCAGCUACUUGGGAGGCUGAGGCAGAAGAAUCACUUGAAUCUAGGAGGCAGAGACUGCAGUGAGCCAAGAUCUUGCCACUGCACUCCAGCCUAGGUGACGAAGUGAGACUCGGUCUCAA
rnacentral:SRP_RNA from 1 species